rnacentral:rRNA from 1 species
UACAGAGGUCUCGAGCGUUAGGCGGAAUCACUGGGCUUAAAGCGUGUGUAGGCGGAUCGUUAAGUACCUUGUGAAAUCCCACGGCUUAACCCGUGGAACUGCUUGGUAUACUGGCGGUCUUGAGCCAGCUAGGGGCUACCGGAACAAAUGGUGGAGCGGUGAAAUGCGUAGAUAUCAUUUGGAACGCCAAUGGUGAAAACAGGUAGCUGGGGCUGUGCUGACGCUGAGACACGAAAGCCAGGGGAGCAAACGGG